GCGUGAGUGAUGAAGGCCUUAGGGUCGUAAAGCUCUUUCAACGGUGAAGAUAAUGACGGUAACCGUAGAAGAAGCCCCGGCUAACUUCGUGCCAGCAGCCGCGGUAAUACGAAGGGGGCUAGCGUUGUUCGGAAUUACUGGGCGUAAAGCGCACGUAGGCGGACUUUUAAGUCAGGGGUGAAAUCCCGGGGCUCAACCCCGGAACUGCCUUUGAUACUGGAAGUCUGGAGUAUGGAAGAGGUAAGUGGAAUUCCGAGUGUAGAGGUGAAAUUCGU
rnacentral:rRNA from 1 species